AAAAAUGCUUUAUAAAUCCUGAAACUUUUAUUUGAUUAGUUUUAUAAUAUUCUGGGAUUUAUAGAAAUAUUUCGGUAGUUGUCGGGAGAAAUUUUAUUGCAAGUUGUCUCCGUAAAUUAGUUAAAAGCGGGUAGAAGUUAAUUGCUUACUCAGUUUAAUAGAAUAGUUGGCAGCUUAAAAUUUAUACGCGUGUCUCCACACUUCUCUUCCUUCAGCCACGUAUACACCCCUGUAAACCCUUUUCCUUUUAUUCACUGUGAAACCUCAUCUCUCUCGUUAAAUCACAGUAAUCGGGGCACUGCUUUCUCUCGCAAAUAUCUCCUCCAUCUCUCGCCUCUGUACGUACAGUCUCCAUAUUCCAUCGGGAUUCUCUGCUGCCGCUUCCUUUUCCGGCCAGCUACUACUGGGUUGGCGAGUUUCAGUCCUUGCUCCGUUUCCCCUCUUCAUCGUGUAUCGUGUCUCUGUGGUGUCCUUUGUAGUCUCCUCAAAUCUGCCGCCAAUCUUUCUUUCAGUAGCCGUUGUCUACUUUCUCCGGCGAGUCCAGCGUUAUGCCACGCUUCCCUAUUUGAUUUCUUUGAAUCGAGCGAGGUAUGCUUACCAAUGACGUUCUGAAGUAAUGAUAUGACAUCACGAGUCGAAUCAAGAAUAUUCUGAUAAGGCAAGGCUGUGAUGUAGAUUAAGUUCCGUUAGAAGCUAGCAAGAUGGAACGAUUAUGCAGUAUAUAGUGUUAUUAGAAAUCUGAGCUAGACAUCGGAGUCAAGAUAAUGUUAAAGAUGGUUCGCCUAUUUAGGCUAAGAAUAAGAAUAAGGCUAGGCGAGGAUUGCAAGUGAUUAAGUUUCAACCUGAUGGUCAGGAAGAGUAUCCAAGAUCGAGUCUUUGGGACUAGUGGUAAUUGGAGUUGUCUAAAUUUGGUUUAGUUGUAAAAAUAUAUUUGUUAAAUUGGAUAUUGGUUAUCCCUUAUAUCGAGGUUUAGUUGAUAGUCUAGUUCAAGCUGUAAUCAGAUCAGUAGUUUUGUUUUCUGAUUUCAAUACUAUAACCUGUUUGCGAUCCUAUUUUAAAGGGGGUGAAAUUGAGUUUUAAUUUAAA